rnacentral:rRNA from 1 species
UACAGAGGUCUCAAGCGUUGUUCGGAAUCACUGGGCGUAAAGGGUGCGUAGGCCGCACGGUAAGUCAGAGGUGAAAUCCCGGAGCUCAACUCCGGAAAUGCCUCCGAUACUGCCGUGCUUGAGGACUGGAGAGGAGUCUGGAAUUCACAGUGGAGCAGUGAAAUGCGUAGAUAUUGUGAGGAACACUAGUGGCGAAGGCGAGACUCUGGACAGUUACUGACACUGAGGCACGAAGGCCAGGGGAGCAAACGGG